AUUGAACGCUGGCGGCAUGCUUUACACAUGCAAGUCGAACGGCAGCGCGGGCUUCGGCCUGGCGGCGAGUGGCGAACGGGUGAGUAAUGCAUCGGAACGUGCCCAGUAGUGGGGGAUAGCCCGGCGAAAGCCGGAUUAAUACCGCAUACGACCUGAGGGUGAAAGCGGGGGACCGAAAGGCCUCGCGCUAUUGGAGCGGCCGAUGUCGGGUUAGCUAGCUGGUGGGGUAAAGGCUUACCAAGGCGACGAUCCGUAGCUGGUCUGAGAGGACGACCAGCCACACUGGGACUGAGACACGGCCCAGACUCCUACGGGAGGCAGCAGUGGGGAAUUUUGGACAAUGGGGGCAACCCUGAUCCAGCCAUGCCGCGUGCGGGAAGAAGGCCUUCGGGUUGUAAACCGCUUUUGUUCGGGAAGAAAUCCUCUGGGCUAAUACCCCGGGGGGAUGACGGUACCGGAAGAAUAAGCACCGGCUAACUACGUG
rnacentral:rRNA from 1 species